CGCGGCUCUCUCUCUCUCUCUCGGCCCGUCUCCCUCCGCUCCGCUAAGCUCGACGCCGGCCGCCGCGCAGCACGCCAUGGAGCCGGACGGCGGCGGCGACGACGACGACGACUACAUGGGGGACCUGUCCCACUUCCUCCCGCCGAGCCCUUCCUCCCCUUCGAGGAGCCUCGGGAGGAGGAAGCAACCACCGGCGGCGCAGGCGCAGGCGCGCGGGCAGGGGCAGGGGCAGGGGCAGGGGAAGCGCGCGAAGGGGGUGCCGUGGCAGGAGAGGCGGCGGCGGGACCGGGAGAGGAAGCAACGUGAGGAGGACGAGCGCACGAUGGCCGGGCUCGCGGAGGCCAUACCGGAGAGCAACGUGGGGUUCAGGCUGCUGAAGCAGAUGGGGUACGACCCGGCGGCCGCUGGCGGCGGCGCCGCCGAGCCGGUCGGCAUCGAGAUCCGCCGCUCCCGGGCCGGGCUUGGCGCUGAACCGGCGGUGGCGGUGGCUCCGCCGCCGCCGCCGCGGCAGCCGUCGGCGGAGGUGGCGGAGGGGGAGAGGAGGCGGGUGGAGGAGAUGGCGGUUGAGCUGAGGGCGAGGCAGAGCACGCAGUGGAGGAGCCGGAGGGUGGUGCGGGACUACCGGAAGGCCGAGGCCGCGCUCGCGCAGCUGGAGAACCGGGAGGUGGCGCCGCCACCGCCGGAGGGGGAGGAGAAGGAGAAGACAGCAGAGGAAGAGGAAGUGAUCACUGAAGAGGAUUUGCAAAACAUAUUGGCUAAGUUGCGCGGUGAACACUACUAUUGCCUUUAUUGUGGUUGCAAGUAUGAAUCAGCAGAAGCAUUGGCAAAUGAAUGCCCUGGGCCAAAUGAAGACGAACAUUAAUUCACUAUGUCAGGGGCGACAAAGAAUGGUCCUUGUUACCACAGUCCACAGUCCUUUUGUUUUAGGAAAUGCUCUGGGACAGGGUCUCGUUUCGAUCAGUGGAAGGGUAUGUGCCCAGCCCCGCAAUGCGUGUGAGCGAUGAGUAUUUCUUCACCAGGGCUACCGUCCGUCCUAUCACUUCUCAAGAAUUGAUGAAGAUUCUCUUAUGGCGGUUUAAAGCUACGAGGGUGGAACUGGUCAACUGGACUUCAGGAAGAGUUUACAGUUCUGCAUAUGUGAAAACAGAAGAUUUUUGUCGAUGGUGAAGAAACAAGUGAUCUGCAACAUAUGACAUUGAUAAGCAGAUGGCGACAAGCAAUUCCAAUCACGGUGAUUCACCUGAUGCUGGAAUCUAUCUAUAGUGCAAUGAUAGUAACAAUUGAGUCUAUCUUGCAGAUGGCUACAGCACUGUUUAGCAUGAUGUCAAACAAGCAAUUCCAAUCACGGCGAUAACUUUUCAAGUUCGUACUGUGUAAAGGAUGGCACUGCUAUUUCUGGUUUUAACAAUCCAUCAUACACCAGUGCAAGGAUAGUUUUACAAUUGUAUCAAUCUUGCAUGUGAAUUUAAGAUCCAUGAUCACUGUUUGUUGAUCACAGGCUAGCGAACAUGUUGCUACAGCACUGUUUAGCAUGAUGUCAAUUAUGUUGCAAUGGCUGCAUCAGUGGCACAGUAUGUGUCCUCUAUGGCCAUUUAUGUGCUCCGUUCUAAGGUGGGCUCUCUCGAUCUGUCGGGACAUGGAGGUGCCUUGUCUGCUGACAGAAAAUUUUUCAGUGCUCACGAGUCACAGCCAAAAGGUGACGAAUCAAUUGGGACGAAAUUUGAAGCAACAACCCAGCAAACAGUGACUGAUAAACGAGAGAUGCUUGCUACAAAUUCCAUGGCGGUAUCUAUCUCGUCACAAAGCCAGUGAUAAUUUUUUUUUGUCUGGAAUAUAUCACUGUUCUCCACUUGUCUGCAAAUCUGAACCUCUUUUUUUUAAAAAAAAAAAGUUUGGAGUGAAGAAGCUGCCAAGAUAGAUAAUCAAAGGCAUCAACAGAACAUCACUGGUGCAGAGAGCAUGCUGCAAAUCCACGCUGUGAAUGUGGUGUCACUUUACACCAACAGACGCCCUUCGAACUGAUUCUUUGCUACAAAUCCACAAUGCUCAGCAGAUCUGCACAAGACAUCAGGUAUACAAAUUCUACAAAUUCUGAAGUACUACUUGGC